GGCCUUUUGAAUUUAAUAUAAGGUCUGACCUGCCCAGUGAUAGUUUUAACGGCCGCGGUAUACUGACCGUGCAAAGGUAGCAUAAUCAUUAGUCUUUUAAUAGAGGGCUGGAAUGAAAGGUUUCACGAGGAACUGGCUGUCUCAUUUUAUUUGUUUUAAAAUUUAAUUUUUUAGUUAAAAAGCUAAAAUUUUAUUGGUAGACGAGAAGACCCUAUAGAGCUUUACAUAUAACUAAAUGAAUAUUUUUAUAUUAAUAUUUUUAUUUAUUUUUGUGUUUUGUUGGGGUGACAAAAAUAUAUAACUAACUUUUUUAUUUACUUUACAUUGAUUUAUGAAUAUUAGAUCCAAUAUUAUUGAUUAUUAGACUAAGUUACCUUAGGGAUAACAGCGUAAUCCUCCUCCAGAGUUCAUAUUUACAGGAUGGGCUUGCGACCUCGAUGUUGGAUUAAGAUGAUAAUUAGGUGUAGCCGCUUAAUUGAUAGGUCUGUUCGACCUUUAAAUUCUU
rnacentral:rRNA from 1 species